CAGUUCUCACCUUGAUGAUUUUAUAAAUACCUGUGCAAUCAUUUAAGGAUGCUGUUAUAACUUGCUAUCACAGGAUUCAGGUCCAAGAACCCUCUCUUAGGAUCUGCACUGGGACCUACCCCUUUUUGGCAACAUGUUCUUGGCAACCACGAAGGGACUAUCCUGAGGAGAUCCCUGACCCAAAGGAAAUAGACUGCAGAACCAAUUGGCUGACUUUGGGGCGACCAUCUUGCCCAGACACCACAUGCUGAAACACUUGGUCGGAAGGAUCAUUCCACCCCACUUUGAGUGGAUCAAAGAUGACAAGGCCCAAGUAGGGGCAAGUUUGAGCCUGGCCAGUUCAAUAUUGGGUGCUAACUGGAGUGGCUAAUGUCUAUGUUUUGUCACACGUAUUUUGCUCUGCUCAGAAUGGAAGAAGAUGGUUUUCCUUUGUGUUGCGGUUUGGCCCCCAGGGCUGUGGUGUGGCGAGCCAAGUCACUAGGGCUGCCCAAGGAAAGGGAACACAGAAGCCUGGCGUGCUGGCAAAAGGGUGGGAAUUUCUUACCAGUCAGGCUUUGGGCCUCCCUGUGUGCAUAACUGGUUGAAUAAAUGGCAAAAAUAACUGUU